rnacentral:rRNA from 1 species
GAGUUUGAUCAUGGCUCAGGACGAACGCUGGCGGCGUGCUUAACACAUGCAAGUCAAGGGGUAGCAAUACCACUGGCGCACGGGUGAGUAACGCGUAGAUUAUCUGCCCCUAUCUCCGGAAUAACAUCAAGAAAUUGGUGCUAAAAACGGAUGAGGCACAAUGUGUCAAAGGUAACGGAUAGGGAUGAGUCUGCGUCUGAUUAGCUAGUUGGUGAGGUAACGGCUCACCAAGGCGACGAUCAGUAGCUGGUCUGAGAGGACGAUCAGCCACACUGGAACUGAGACACGGUCCAGACUCCUACGGGAGGCAGCAGUGAGGAAUUUUGCACAAUGGAGGAAACUCUGAUGCAGCGACGCCGCGUGCGGGAUGAAGGGGCUUUGCCUUGUAAACCGCUGUCGGGUGGGAAAAAAGUUCCCUCGGGGACUGGGAUUGUACCACCAAAGGAAGGACCGGCUAACUACGUGCCAGCCGCCGCCG